AACGAUAUUUCGGUUUUAAACGCCCACACGAGUAAUCAAAUAUGAAUAAAGUACAUACUGAUAUGUCAAAUUUUUGGUAUGUAAUUUUCUAGUAUGUACAUUUAUGUACAUAUAAGAUCACUGCAAUUUAAUUAGAAAAGUAAUUAAUAUAUUUUAUUAAGUACUCUCAAAAAGCGAGAUAACCUUUUUU
rnacentral:misc_RNA from 1 species